AGUCGAACGAGAGAGAAGGAGCUUGCUUCUUCGAUCGAGUGGCGAACGGGUGAGUAACGCGUGAGGAACCUGCCUCAAAGAGGGGGACAACAGUUGGAAACGACUGCUAAUACCGCAUAAGCCCACGGAUCGGCAUCGAUCUGAGGGAAAAGGAGCAAUCCGCUUUGAGAUGGCCUCGCGUCCGAUUAGCUAGUUGGUGAGGUAACGGCCCACCAAGGCGACGAUCGGUAGCCGGACUGAGAGGUUGAACGGCCACAUUGGGACUGAGACACGGCCCAGACUCCUACGGGAGGCAGCAGUGGGGAAUAUUGCACAAUGGGGGAAACCCUGAUGCAGCGACGCCGCGUGGAGGAAGAAGGUCUUCGGAUUGUAAACUCCUGUUGUUGAGGAAGAUAAUGACGGUACUCAACAAGGAAGUGACGGCUAACUACGUGCCAGCAGCCGCGGUAAAACGUAGGUCACAAGCGUUGUCCGGAAUUACUGGGUGUAAAGGGAGCGCAGGCGGGAAGACAAGUUGGAAGUGAAAUCUAUGGGCUCAACCCAUAAACUGCUUUCAAAACUGUUUUUCUUGAGUAGUGCAGAGGUAGGCGGAAUUCCCGGUGU
rnacentral:rRNA from 1 species